rnacentral:misc_RNA from 1 species
CGCACAUUGCACCCCUUGGUAUUCCGGGGGGCAUGCCUGUUCGAGCGUCAUUACACCCCUCAAGCGCAGCUUGGUGUUGGGCGUCACCCGCGCGGUGCGCCCCAAACGCAGUGGCGACGCCGUCUGGCCUCGAGCGCAGUAACGCAUCUCGCUCUGGGGUCUGGCGUGCGCCGGCCAGCAACCACAUCUCAAGGUUGACCUCGGAUCAGGUAGGGAUACCCGCUGAACUUAA